AGUUCCCCGAGACUGGACGGGAUCACUUCCGGUGGGGAAAGUCCCACCUCUUCGGGGCGAGCCGGGUGGCGCUGGAGCCGCGCCCUGCUGAGCGAGCGAGCCGGCCGGGGACGGUUUCGGGUCGGGACUCCGGCUUCGGGAACGGGCCUCUGGAAACCUGCGACGUCAGUCCUUACCCGCCCGCGGCUGCCGCGGACCGUCCCAACCCCAAACCCGUAGAAGCACCUCCGACCUGCAACCUCCAGCCGCCCGGCCCUAGGACUUGAGCCGCUCCCUGGCCGGUGCGGAACCUGCGGGCUAAUAAUCUAGCGACCGGGAGAACGCCAAACAUCCCUGGACUAGAAGUUGCAGGGGAAAUCAAACAGCCCAGAAAGUUUAUUCUCCUUGCUGGUAUUUCUUCCACUUGCUAUUUUGCUGAGAGAUGCAUGCAAACUACCCUUAGACUUCAGAUGCAGUGCGUUUUACUUAGCCGUGCCUGACAAUUAAACACACAGAACUUUUACCGUCUGGUAGAUCCGCCUUGACUUUACCAGCGAAUACUAAAGUCACUUAAAAAAAAAUCACAAGGCUCGAAAACAGCAGCAUUAGAAGUAGACUUUAUGGUACUCUGCUCAGCUAUGUUCUCAUUUGAUUCCAACCACUACACGGCAGAAAAGGAAAGAAGACUGAAUAAUGAUUGGAAGAACGCCGGAGUUGUCAAGCUUUUUUGAUAACUGCAUAUGUGAACUAGGUCAAGUCACUCUCCCUCAACGGAUCACCAGUUUACCCAACUGUAAAUGGCAACAAUUUUGAACUGAACGUCCUUCCUUCUACAGCCAAAAUUCUUCGUUUGCUAGGUUUGUGAAGUGCUUUUAUAUGUAUGUGCGCUUUCUUAACUAUUAAGAUAUCUGAGUCAUCGAACUUUUGGUGGGGGCAAUCUCAUGAUAAGUCAUGACUAGAUUUUAGAGUUUUCUCAUCCCCAUACUCAAAGUUUUUUUUUUAAGAAUAAAAAUGAAAAGAAACAAUACCCCACAAUAUUUCUGAGCCUCAAAGGACAGACUAAAAAAGCUAACUUUUAAAAUACUUCAUUUUGAAAUAAUUUUGAACUGACAAAAAAAUCGCAAAAAUAAUACCUGGAGUCCCUGUAUACCCUUCACCCAGAUUCCCCUACUGUUAAAUACUUACAUAACCAUAACACAAUUACCAAAACCAGGAAAUUAACACUGGUACGAGACUCUUAACAAGAGAUCUUAUUUGAAUGUCACCAAUUUUCUUCCUAAUGUUCUUCUGUUCUAGGAUCCAAUCCAGGUUCCCACAUGGCAUUUAUUCCUCACUUCUCCUUAGUCUCCUCCAAUCUGUGACACUUUCUCAGUCUUUCCUUGUCUUUCAUGACCAUGACACUUUGGAUGAGUACUGGUCAUUUAUUCUGUAAAAUGCCUCUCACUUUGUGUUUGUUGAAUGUUUUCUCAUGAUUAGACCGAGACCAUGUCUUUUUGGCAGGAACAUCACAGAAAUGGUGUGUAUCCUAUCUGAGGGUAUGUGAUAUUGAUAUAUCUUAUCACUCAUUAUGUUAACCUUAAACACCUGGUUAAAGUGGCAUCUGCUGGGUUUCUCCACUGUAAAGUGACUAUUUUCCCUUUAUUUACUUAUUUUAGAAACAGGGUCUUGCUGUGUUGCCCAGGCUGGAGUGCAGUGGCACAAUCACUGCUCACUGCAGCCUCAAUCUCCCAGGCUCAAGCGAUCCUCUGCCUCCUGAGUAGCUGGGACUACAGGCAUGCACCAUUAUGCCCAGUUAAUUUUUAAAAAAAUGUUUUGUAUAGACAGGGUCUCGCUAUAUUGCCCAGGCUGGUCUCAAACUCCUGGCCUCAAGAGAUCCUCCCACCUCAGCCUCCCAAAGUGCUGGGAUUAAAGGCAUGAGCCAGCCACCAUGCCUGGUCUAUUUUUCAUUGAUAAAUGAAAUAGACCAUGCCUGGUCUAUUUUUCAUUGAUAAAUGAAAUAGACCAUGCCUGGUCUAUUUUUCAUUGAUAAAUGAAAUAGACCAUGCCUGGUCUAUUUUUCAUUGAUAAAUGAAAUAGACCAUGCCUGGUCUAUUUUUCAUUGAUAAAUAUCCUGGGAGAAAUACUUUGGGACAAUGCAAAUAUCCUGUUUCUCCUCCAACUUUUACCCACUGAUUUCAGCAUUUAUCAGUGGAUCCUGCCUGCAACCAUUAUUACCAUGGCAUUUGCCUACUAGUGAUUUUGUGUUUCCUUCAUUUGUUCUCCAUUUAUUAAUUGGAAUUCUUCUGUAAGGAGGAGUUGUCCCUUCUCCCCAACUUAUCCAUUUAUUCAAUUUUUUUGUAAACUAUGGACUCAUGGGCAUCUAUUUUAUUCUAUGAGCUAUAAUUCAAUACUGUCAUCAUUUAGUUUCUUGCUCAAGUUAUUCUAACUUCAGCCAUUGGGAGCUCCUUCAGACUGGCUACUAUGCUGUCUUGUCAUGCCCCCACCCUUUCUCUAGCACUUUCUUACAUUCUUACACCAAAAGACAUUACAGCCUCAUCUUGUAUUUUCCCUGCUUCUGUCCAGAAUUAGCCAUUAUUCCAAAGAUCCCGAGUUCCUUUAUUGGAGAAUGAUAUUAGACACAAAGAUGUGGGUACUAAGUAUGCUCGUUGCUGUUGGGGUGUUAAUUGCUUCUAGGGCCUCCCAAGACAGAGCUAGGAAAUGAAAGCAUACAUAAUAACCCAUGCAUACACACAGAUCAAUAUCUAUUCCUGUAUCUAUCUGUAUACAUACUCAUGUGUCCUUUCUAAUCCACACCAUGGUAUUCAUCCUAACCUUCCCUUUUUAUUUUUAACUUUUUUCCUCUGAUAGUGAGAAAAUAGGCUCUCAUUAUCUACUCUAUAUACAUUUAUUUGUUCAACCUCAGUAUCUACAUACUUACAUAUGCCUGUGAGGAACAGAUUUACUAACUAGAAUCCUGUAUUUGUGUGCAAUUCUUUUUAUCUUUAUUAUAAAUAUAGUACCUCCAGGCUUCUUUUUAUUAGUGUCAGCAUGACAUAGCUUUUCCCAUCUUUUUACUGUUAAUAUUUUAAACUCAAAAAAAGCAAGGAGGAAAACAGUAUGCUACUAUCUGUGUGAAAAUGGAAAAUAAGUAUGGAUAUAUUUGCUCAUAUGUAUACAUAUAAUAUCUAUGGGAGAGGGAAAACCAAAAUAUCAGUUUGGAGGUCAACUGAUUAACUGGGGGAAAGAGAUGAGGGGAAAACUUCGCUGCAUACUCUACUAUCGUUGAAAUUUCUUAAACUUUUUCAUUGAGUAUAAUUCACAAAUCAUAAAACUCACCCUUUUAAAGUCUACACAUCAGUAGUUUUUAACACAUUUAUAUACAAAGUUGUGUAACUAUCAUCACUAAUUCCAGGACAUUUUCAUCACCCUUAAAAAAAAGCCAUGUACCCAUUAGUAGUUAAUUCCCAUACCCCUCACCCCUCACUCACCCAUCUACUGCCCUUCACAAGACCCUGGCAACCACUAAUCUGCUUUCUGUCUCUAUGGAUUUGCCAACUCUUGAUGUUUCAUAUAAAUGGAAUCACACAUAUGUGACAUUUUAUGUCUGGCUUCUUUCACUUAACAUCAUGUUUUUAAGGUUCAUCCAUGUUGUAGCAUGGAUCAGUACUUUGUUCCUUUUUGUGGCUGAGUAAUAUUACAUUGUAUGUAUAUACCAUAUUUUGUUGAUGUACUCAUUAGUUGACUGUUUUUCUAAAUGUUUGAAUUAUGAAAAUAUCCAUUCAAAAAUUAAACUUUAAAAAAUAGAAACAAAA